GCCGGAGUGGCGGAACUGGCAGACGCACUGGAUUCAAAAUCCAGCGCCACGCGAGUGGCAUGUGGGUUCGACCCCCACCUUCGGCACCA
rnacentral:tRNA from 1 species